UCAAGCGAAUAAGCGCACACGGUGGAUGCCUAGGCGGUCAGAGGCGAUGAAGGACGUGGUAGCCUGCGAAAAGUGUCGGGGAGCUGGCAACAAGCUUUGAUCCGGCAAUAUCCGAAUGGGGAAACCCACUGCUUCGGCAGUAUCUUGCAGUGAAUUCAUAGCUGCUUGAAGCGAACCCGGUGAACUGAAAUAUCUAAGUAACCGGAGGAAAAGAAAUCAACCGAGAUUCCCUGAGUAGUGACGAGCGAACGGGGAACAGCCCUUAAGCUGGAAUGGCUUUAGAAAAACAAUCUGGAAAGAUUGGCCAUAGAAGGUGAUAGCCCUGUAUUUAAAAGGGCCACUCCAGUGAAGACGAGUAGGGCGGGGCACGUGAAACCCUGUCUGAAUAUGGGGGGACCAUCCUCCAAGGCUAAAUACUCCUGACCGACCGAUAGUGAACCAGUACCGUGAGGGAAAGGCGAAAAGAACCCCGGAGAGGGGAGUGAAAUAGAUCCUGAAACCGUGUGCGUACAAGCAGUAGGAGCUCGCAAGAGUGACUGCGUACCUUUUGUAUAAUGGGUCAGCGACUUACUGUUCGUGGCAAGCUUAACCGUAUAGGGGAGGCGAAGGGAAACCGAGUCUGAUAAGGGCGCAUAGUCGCGGGCAGUAGACCCGAAACCGGGUGAUCUAGUCAUGGCCAGGGUGAAGGUGCCGUAACAGGUACUGGAGGCCCGAACCCACGUCUGUUGCAAAAGACGGGGAUGAGCUGUGAUUAGGAGUGAAAAGCUAAUCGAACCCGGAGAUAGCUGGUUCUCCUCGAAAGCUAUUUAGGUAGCGCCUCGGACGAAUACUACUGGGGGUAGAGCACUGUUAUGGCUAGGGGGUCAUCGCGACUUACCAAACCAUUGCAAACUCCGAAUACCAGUACGUACUAUCCGGGAGACACACGGCGGGUGCUAACGUCCGUCGUGAAAAGGGAAACAACCCAGACCCACAGCUAAGGUCCCAAAUUCACUGCUAAGUGGAAAACGAUGUGGAAAGGCAUAGACAGCCAGGAGGUUGGCUUAGAAGCAGCCACCCUUUAAAGAAAGCGUAAUAGCUCACUGGUCGAGUCGGUCUGCGCGGAAGAUUUAACGGGGCUAAGCAGUGAACCGAAGCUUGGGGUGCGUAAAACUUCGGUUUUAUGCGCGGUAGAGGAGCGUUCCGUAAGCCUGCGAAGGUGGAUUGAGAAGUCUGCUGGAGGUAUCGGAAGUGCGAAUGCUGACAUGAGUAACGAUAAUGCGGGUGAAAAGCCCGCACGCCGAAAGCCCAAGGUUUCCUUGCGCAACGUUAAUCGACGCAGGGUUAGUCGGUCCCUAAGGCGAGGGCGAAAGCCGUAGUCGAUGGGAAGCAGGUUAAUAUUCCUGCACCUCGCGUGAGUGCGAUGGAGGGACGGAGAAGGUUAGGUGUACCGGGCGUUGGUUGUCCCGGGGAAAGGCGGUAGGUUUGGAUCUUUGGCAAAUCCGGGAUCCUUUAAGACCGAGCACCGAGACGAGCCUUUAUGGCGAAGUCACUGAUACCACGCUUCCAGGAAAAGCUCCUAAGCUUCAGCUCACGAAGACCGUACCGUAAACCGACACAGGUGGGUAGGAUGAGAAUUCUCAGGCGCUUGAGAGAACUCGGGUGAAGGAACUAGGCAACAUGGCACCGUAACUUCGGGAGAAGGUGCACCCUUUUUGGUGGCUCAUGCGAGCUAUAGCUGAAGAGGGUCGCAGAAACCAGGCCGCUGCGACUGUUUAUCAAAAACACAGCACUCUGCAAACACGAAAGUGGACGUAUAGGGUGUGACGCCUGCCCGGUGCUGGAAGGUUAAUUGAUGGGGUCAGCCGCAAGGCGAAGCUCUUGAUCGAAGCCCCAGUAAACGGCGGCCGUAACUAUAACGGUCCUAAGGUAGCGAAAUUCCUUGUCGGGUAAGUUCCGACCUGCACGAAUGGCGUAACGACAGCGGCGCUGUCUCCACCCGAGACUUAGUGAAAUUGAAAUCGCUGUGAAGAUGCAGCGUUCCCGUGGCAAGACGGAAAGACCCCGUGAACCUUUACUAUAGCUUUACACUGAACGUUGAGUUCGUCUGUGUAGGAUAGGUGGGAGGCUAUGAAACUGUGGCGCUAGCUGCAGUGGAGCCAACCUUGAAAUACCACCCUGUCGUGCUUGACGUUCUAACCUAGAUCCGUUAUCCGGAUCAGGGACCGUGUAUGGUGGGUAGUUUGACUGGGGCGGUCUCCUCCUAAAGAGUAACGGAGGAGCACGAAGGUACGCUCAGCGCGGUCGGACAUCGCGCACUGUGUGCAAAGGCAUAAGCGUGCUUGACUGCAAGAUCGACGGAUCAAGCAGGUACGAAAGUAGGUCUUAGUGAUCCGGUGGUUCUGUAUGGAAGGGCCAUCGCUCAACGGAUAAAAGGUACUCCGGGGAUAACAGGCUGAUACCGCCCAAGAGUUCAUAUCGACGGCGGUGUUUGGCACCUCGAUGUCGGCUCAUCACAUCCUGGGGCUGUAGUCGGUCCCAAGGGUAUGGCUGUUCGCCAUUUAAAGUGGUACGCGAGCUGGGUUCAGAACGUCGUGAGACAGUUCGGUCCCUAUCUGCCAUGGGCGUUGGAAGUUUGAGAGGGGCUGCUCCUAGUACGAGAGGACCGGAGUGGACGAACCUCUGGUGUUCCGGUUGUCACGCCAGUGGCAUUGCCGGGUAGCUAUGUUCGGAAGCGAUAACCGCUGAAAGCAUCUAAGCGGGAAGCGCGCCUCAAGAUGAGACUUCCCGGGGCACAAGCCCCCUAAAGGAACCAUAUAGACUAUGUGGUUGAUAGGUCAGGUGUGUAAGUACAGCAAUGUAUUGAGCUAACUGAUACUAAUGAUCCGUGCGGCUUGACCAU
rnacentral:rRNA from 2 species